AUGCUCGGGGUUCGUUCUGGUUUUCAUGCUCGUGGCUGAAACAGGUGCUUCUGAUUUCCAGGGCCUGUGUCCUCAGUGGGACAAAAGAUACGUAUAUUAAGGCUGACCUGGGUGGAACAAGGAGAAACCCAGGAUCUCCUUGAUCCACAGGACGCUCACCGCUGGACCUCUGCCUGCAGGCUCUCGUGGGACGCAUACAUGUCACUAGAGGGAACAGUCCUUGGCAUCACUGUGGCUCUACGAGACCAGCCAUUUUUAAAGGAACAAGGCUGCGGCCCUCACUCGGUCUGAGCCAAGCUUCCUCCUGCACCGUGAGGGGCGUGGAUGGCACCCCCAGCCAGCACGCCCAAUGUGUGUCCGCACCCCAGCAAACACCCACCCCUUUGCCCCCUUGCUGGGCUGGGACUGUGUGGUCUCUCCAUGGAUGGAUGAAUCCCUGAGGACCCUGCAUUCAUGGCCCUGGACACGGACGCAGGGCCAUCUGGGCACGACAUCUCCAGGGCCCAGGACCUGCAGCAUGGUCCAGAAGGGGGACGCUUCUCCUUCGUCCCGCAGACCCCUUGCCCUACGGGGAGGGGCACGGCCAGGACAGCGCCCCGCUUGCCCCAGUGUGAAGAAGGUCAUGGGCUGACCAAAGAGCAGUUCAACUUCAAGGAUGGAGUCUUCUGGAGAGCAAGGGUUAGGGGUUUUUUCAGGCUGGAAGAAGGAACACUUGCGGGAAUGGGAACCCAGGAUCAUAAUGGUGACAGGGAACAGAGAUAGCUUGUCAGUUACAUGCAUUUUUCUGCGUUAGAACAAGACACAGGCUGGCUGAAUCCGUUACAAAACAAGAGCAUUUUCCCCCGAGCUUUUACUCGGGAAUUGAAACCACCAACUCCUAUGUGAUAUUUUCCAGAUUAAUGGAAGUGAUUGCUGGAGGUCACGAAACUAAUGAAGAUCAAGUCACAGUCAAGUCAGGUUCGUGGGAUCAAACUCCGUAUCAGGCUCUGCGCUAAGCAUGAAGAUUGCUUAAGAUUCUCUCUCUCUCCCUCUGCCCCUCUCACCUGUGCUCUCUCUCUCUCUCUCAAAAAAUUAAAAAAUAAAUUAAAAUUUAAAAAGUAAUAAAAAGAUUAAAUUUACUAAG